CUUUUUCACCCCGAAUGAUUCACACAUUGCUCGGAAUUCGCUGGGCGCACGAUGUGGUUAAUUUAAACACUGCGGCGGCAGGCAAACCUGAGCGGCAUCUCAAUGCGCACAGACCUUAUUUUUAACAAGACAUACUUUGGCACUUGCAAGAACAUUUAAAAAUACCUUCUCCAUUCCGAGGCAGCAGUGUGCUGUCCAGGGGGAGGAAUCCUCAGUUUGAGGUCACUGCUUUCCCUGAGACCUGGACUUGGAAUGUGUUGAUCAGAGCUAUUGCAGAGGCUGCCGUGAGCUUCCAGAGCCAGGAAGUAAACAGAUUGCAGGCCCAAUCCAUCACUCUGGAGACCCACUCAAAGUCUUUUCAUCAUCCAAGGUUGGCCUCCAUGCCUCGAGCUUCAGGGCACCUGCCCCACUUCUACAGUGCCAGCUCUUAGACUUCAUCACUCAUCCCAGGCAUGCCAUGUGUCUGAUCAUGUCCUGACGGUCCCUCUGCAUCCCCAAGGUACUACCCAUCCGGUGGUCUCAGUACAUUCCUUGACUAAAUCGAAGAGACCAGAUGAGUAAGAUAAUGAGAACGAUCUGAAGAAAGGUUUCCUGACAGCAUAAUAAAGGAUGAGCUGGAGGAAAACCAACAGCCUCCCCAUCCAUCAUCACUCCAGGACCAAGCUUCUCGUGUUCUGAGCCCUGCUCAGGGCUGGUGAGGCCCCCUGCCUACUCCUCCUCCUGAACUAAUCGACAGCCAGACAACAUGCACCUUGCACAAUAGCACCAGGCACGAAGCACCCUCCUGCACAAUAUCAGAGGCCCAGCAGGAUGUGGUUAAUUGCCAGGUGAGGGAAACACUAACUACAAAAGAGAAUGAUUCCAUACAUGAUGCAGGAAAGCGUGGGGGUCUGGGUGCGGAAGGAGCCUCCUGAGAGCAAGGAUUCAGGUAGGAAAAGGAUGUGGAAUUAUAUCUGGCCCAAGGGAAGGGUGGUACCUAACUUUCUGAGAGCAAGGAUGCAGGGUAAAGAGAGGCUUCCCUAAGCAGACAAGGGAGAGGCCCUGCAAGUUGGGGAAAUGGACCCAGGUGGUCUCAGGGCCUUCAGCAGGUGAGUGUGGAAGAGGACACAGAAGUGUGAGGCUGGAAGGUAGAGUGGCUACCAGAAGCUCUGAUUUCUCACAUUGUGUUUCUCUUUAUAUUCUAAUCAUCUGUGUUCAAAACUUGCCAUUUUCACAAGCUGAGGCUCAGAGGCCAGAAAGCAAAGGGAUGGAUGGGUGGCACUACCCCCUUCCUCUGCCAUGUCACAUCAGCAAAUAAGGGACAGCAGGGAGGAUGGGUGUGAAGAGGGCACCAGGUUGUUCCCUAGAGGAGACACAGGCUCAACUUAAGUUUCAGAGGAUGAGCAAGGGGCAGGCAUGAUUGUAGAAGCCCCCUGUGGAGUGGCCAGGUGGGAAGGCAAGGAUGGGCUGGGGCAGUGAAGGUGACAUCUUUUCAUGUAACUUGAGAGGAGAUGGCAGGAAGUCGUUGAGGUUGAAUAGAAGGGGCAGGGCAGGUGAAAAAAAAUAGGACUCUAGGGGACAAAUAUGGGCAAAGGGAAGGAAAGCUGACCAUGGCAGGGACGGUGCGACCAUGGCAAGUUCACAGGCAUCGGUCUGCGUGUCCUGUUUUAGGAUGCUCAGACUUAUCUACGUGAUGCAUCCUGAAAGAUGUGUGCAUGGAAACAUGGGGGUGGGAAGAGGGGAAGAUGCAUUUGGGAGCAUCUGGAAAUGCAAAUUGCAAGGAGAAAGCUGAAAGCAGCCUGGCUAGCAAGGACAUCAUUGGCGACUGUUGGCUCUGCAGAGUUUCAGAGGCCAGUCUGGUACCUGGGUGAAGAGGUUGUCCUGAUAUUUCUUUCUGCAAAUUUGGACCCAUUGGUGUAUAUGGCAGGCACUCUCUCAGGGCAUUUCAUGGACUAUGUCUUGCUAGUCAGUCCAUCUGUCUUACCUUUCCCUGUUGCUGUGAUUAAACACUCGGACAAAAGCAAUUUAAGAAAGAAAGGAUUUAUUUUGGCUCAGUUUGAAGGUACAGUCAACCAUGGUAGGGAAGCCACAGCUGUGGGAGCUUGAGGCAGCUGGUCACACAGCAUCUACAGUCUUUUUUAAUAUAUAUAUAUAUUAAAAAAGUUCAGUUCAGGGUCCCAGCCCAGAGAAUGAUCUCACCCACAAUGGGAAGGUCUUUCUACCUCAACUUAAUAGAAUCAAGAUAAUCCCACAGGCAUGUCUCUUUAGUAAAUCCAAAUCUCAUCAAUUAACAAUUAGAUUAGCCCUCUCACCAUCUUCAGGCAGAAAAAACAAUCACCCAUGCAUUCUUAAAUCUGUGUUUGAAAGCCUAUGAGAGGCUCUGUCUGUCUGUGAUGCCCAGACAUCCCAGGGAACUGUGAUGCAUCACAGUCCACACAAGCACUGAGGAGCCACCAUGCAAACAGCAUGACCCCACCUUGGGGAAAGUUGGCUUGUUUGGGGGUAGACAUGUGACACAAAUUAGACUGUGGUGGUCUAAUUUGAAUGAGAAUGGUUUCCACAGGCUCACAUAUUUGGAUACUUGGUUCCCAUUUGGUGGAAGUGUCUGGGAAGGAUUAGGAGGUGUGGCCUUUUUGGAGGAGGUGUGUCACUGGGAGUGGACUUUGAGGUUUCAAAAGACUUGCACCAUUCCCAGUUAACUCUGAUCUGUCUCAUGGUCCUGUCUCAAGAUGUGAGCUCUCUGUUGCUGCUCCAGCACCGUAUCUGCCUUCCUGCUGCCAUGCUCCCUGCCAUGAUGACCACGGACUCUAACCCUCUGAAACUGUAAGCCUCAAAUUAAAUGCAUCCUUUCAUAAGUUACCUUGGUCAUGGUGUUUUAACUAAGACAGACUAAUCAGAUUCCUUCCCUGAGAAUCUAGAACUUGAAUUAAGAAAUAAAUGGUAAAUUUUUUCUUGUAGUUUAAACUGGCAAGUAGCAAACUCAGGCGUAUGGAUGGCUAGAAUGAGAAAGAAACACUAAAGGGUACUUUGUGGUAAGAGCAACAAAAUGACCCUGCUGGCUAGACUUCAUAGUCCCAGAAGGUCAUGAGAAUAACCUGCUAUUUUCUGAUAGGACAUGAGAUCCCUUCCAUAGGAGGGAAGGGAUGUCCCUUAUUGUGAAUUUGGUUAGAAGCCAGUGGCUGAGAUCAUAGUCCUUAGUGGGGAAGAUACUGCUGUUCUUUGUUUUUGUUUUUCUUAAUGGACACAAUGUGCCUCAAACUGCCAUAUAGUGAGUUACAUUUACACCCAUAGGUUAGUGCUGCUGUCAGCCUGGGUCAGGGAAGCUUCAUUUUGCAGCAGGAGUGGCAACUACAGAGACUGUCAAAAUAGAAGAGUAAGUGACUGUUGAGUUCUUGACCAUCAACCCCUCCAAGGCUCAGGGGACAUCACAGAAGCUGGACAGAAGGAAUGUAAGGGCCAGAGGACAAGGAAGAAUGGAACUUUAGGCCCAGGGGAUCUGACUCUCUCCUGGCCUCCAUGGGCACUGCGCUCAAGUUGUGCACACACAUACAGGCAAAACACCUUUAUACAUAAAAUGAAAUAAAAAAUUCAAAUGUCAU
ensembl:lncRNA